rnacentral:rRNA from 1 species
UACGUAGGUGGCGAGCGUUGUCCGGAUUUACUGGGCGUAAAGGGCGUGCAGGCGGUUUGUUAAGUGCAGGGUGAAAGCUCCCGGCUCAACUGGGAGAGGUCCUUGCAUACUGGCGAACUCGAGGGAGGCAGAGGAAAGUGGAAUUCCCGGUGUAGUGGUGAUAUGCGUAGAUAUCGGGAGGAACACCUGUGGCGAAGGCGGCUUUCUGGGCCUUACCUGAUGCUGAGACGCGAAAGCGUGGGGAGCGAACCGG